rnacentral:rRNA from 1 species
UACGUAGGGGGCAAGCGUUGUCCGGAUUUAUUGGGCGUAAAGCGCACGCAGGCGGUGCGGUAAGUUUCGAGUGACAGGUGGUGGCUUAACUGCCACAGGCCUUGGAAAACUGCCGCACUUGAGGGCUUGAGAGGGACGCGGAAUUCCAGGUGGAGCGGUGAAAUGCGUAGAGAUCUGGAGGAACACCGGUGGCGAAGGCGGCGUUCUGGACUGCAACUGACACUGAGGAACGAAAGCCAGGGGAGCAAACGGG